rnacentral:misc_RNA from 1 species
AGCAGCCGCGGUAAUUCCAGCUCCAAUAGCGUAUAUUAAAGUUGUUGCAGUUAAAAAGCUCGUAGUUGAAUUUCGGGGUUAGUAGGUUGGUCAUGCCUCUGGUAUGUACUGGUCUCACUGAUUCCUCCUUCCUGAUGAGCCGUAAUGCCAUUAAUUUGGUGUUGCGGGGAAUUUGGACUGUUACUUUGAAAAAAUUAGAGUGUUUAAAGCAAGCUAACGCUUGAAUACAUUAGCAUGGAAUAAUGAAAUAGGACGUUCGAUCCUAUUUUGUUGGUUUCUAGGAUUGACGUAAUGAUUAAUAGGGAUAGUUGGGGGCAUUAGUAUUCAAUUGUCAGAGGUGAAAUUCUUGGAUUUAUUGAAGACUAACUACUGCGAAAGCAUUUGCCAAGGAUGUUUUCAUUAAUCAAGAACGAAAGUUAGGGGAUCGAAGACGAUCAGAUACCGUCGUAGUCUUAACCAUAAACUAUGCCGACUAGGGAUCGGAUGAUGUUAAUUUUUAAUGACUCAUUCGGCGUCCCG